GACGAACGCUGGCGGCGUGCUUAACACAUGCAAGUCGAACGGAGCGAAUGAAAGCUUGCUUUUAUGAGCUUAGUGGCAAACGGGUGAGUAACACGUAGACAACCUGCCGACAGGAUGGGGACAACAUUCCGAAAGGAAUGCUAAUACCGAAUGAAGUCGAGGGAAGGCAUCUUCCUUCGAUGAAAGAUGGCCUCUGAAUAUGCUAUCACCUGUUGAUGGGUCUGCGUCUGAUUAGCUAGUUGGUGAGGUAACGGCUCACCAAGGCGACGAUCAGUAGCCGGUCUGAGAGGAUGAACGGCCACAUUGGGACUGAGACACGGCCCAGACUCCUACGGGAGGCAGCAGUGGGGAAUCUUCCGCAAUGGGCGCAAGCCUGACGGAGCAACGCCGCGUGAGUGAAGAAGGUCUUCGGAUCGUAAAGCUCUGUUGACGGGGACGAACGUGCGGAGUGCGAAUAGCGCUUUGUAAGACGG
rnacentral:rRNA from 1 species